AGAGCCUUAAAGAGCCUUAAGUUAGUGUGCAUUCAGUCUUGGGGAAUAUUGUAUUUGUUUUCCUGAUUAUAAUGCUAAUACAGCGGAACCUCGGUUGUCAAACGUAAUCUGUUCCAGAAGUCCGUUCAACUUCUGAAACAUUCUACAACUGAGGCGCAAUUGCCGGUGGGAAAAUUCCUUUAACAAAAUGGAGAAACAUGCCUCAGAAGCUGUGGGGCGCUUUCGAAAAUGGAAGCAUUCACUUCCGGGUUAUUGGCCUUUGGGUUCCAAAUUGUUUGGCUUCUGAAGCGUUCGACAACUGAGGUUCCACUAUAAUCCUCUCCAAUUUUGUUUCCACAUGGCAGUACCUGAAACUGUGGCUUUUUGACUCAUAUACCAGCAUAUGUUACCUUAAAUUUCAAUCACCUCAGUGGACAUGAUAUGACACAACAAUGAUUAUCAUCGGACAACGAUGGGACUCCCUCACCCUUUCUGUGCAUGAUACCCCCUUAAAACAUUUGUCUCUUCCAAAGUCUCUCAAUAAAUUUGGGAUAAGUAACAUCUAGGGAUGCCCCUUGUACAUUGACUUGGUAGAUCUGACAAAGACUUUUGACCUUGUCAGCCCCAAAGAACUCUUUACACUGUUCAACAAGAUAGUUAAUUUUGUUAACUGUUUCUUAACUGUUUUAAUUGUUAUGCUUUUAAAUUGUUUGUCUGUUGUAUUUUUAAUUGAGGAUGUUUUAAUGUCGCAGUGGAUCUAUUAUUGUGCAUUUUAAUUCUGCAUUGAUUUUAUAGUUGUAAACCACUUAGAAGUCAUUUUGGCAUAUAAACUUUAUAUAAAAGAAUACUUCAAAGCCAUGAAGGCAUAAUGAAUACCAGUUGCUCAGUAACAACUGUAUCCUGCUUCUGGAGUUUCUGCCAGAGAAACUGGGUUGGCUACCACAGAAAACAGGCUACUGGGUUACUCUGCCUUUAGUCUGACUCAGUAGAGCUCUUUUUAUUACUUAUAUUAUUCUCUCCCCAAGCCUUAAAUUCCACUAAAUACAACAGAACAGCCCAGAAGGUAAAGAAAUUAUGUGUUCUCCUGAAGGUUAUUAAUCAAGAUGUCCUCUAGCUCAACAACACCAUACUGGACAUCCUUUCUCUCAAAAUCCUGCCAAUCUCAUCUGACUCCUUUAAUUAUCCAGAGAUCCAGGC